AUAUUUCAGUCUGCUCCCAGUUUCAGUUGGGAAUACAGCUCCAAUUUCUGGCUAACAAAAUUUAUAAAAAUGAAUAAAUUUUUCGUUGUAAAAUAUUCAUUUUUUUUUCGGUCAUUCAUUUUUUCUGGUUUCAAAAUUGUGUUACUCGAAAAAGCAAAGAAAAAAAACAAAUUUACAUUUACAACAAGCAAUUUAUCAUGUUUCAUAUAUUAAUAUCAAUUCAGAAUAAAUAUUUUUACACGGCCGGACACACACUCAUCCCAGUUAACCCAGCAAAUCAAGCAUAAACAACAAAUUUGUUACAGCAAUGUUUUAAUGCAAUUGAGCAAAAGUUGAAUAAUAUAAAUCUAUUACUUAUGAGAGCAAAACACGCAAUACAAAAAAAAAAAAAAAA